rnacentral:rRNA from 1 species
GGGAUAACAACCUGGAAACAGAUGCUAAUACCGGAUAACAACAGAUGAUGCCUAUCAACUGUUUAAAAGAUGGUUCUGCUAUCACUCUUGGAUGGACCUGCGGUGCAUUAGCUAGUUGGUAGGGUAACGGCCUACCAAGGCGAUGAUGCAUAGCCGAGUUGAGAGACUGAUCGGCCACAUUGGGACUGAGACACGGCCCAAACUCCUACGGGAGGCAGCAGUA